CUCCAGCUCAUGCCUGGCCCAAAUGAGGAUGGAUGGAUGGAAGGAUGGAAAGAAAGAAAGAAGGCAGGCUUCGUAGUGCAGCGGUAGCAGAGGGCCUGAGGCACCACGGCGUACAGGAUAUUAACCAGCAAGAAGACAGGCUGGCUGUCAGCGGGCACUCUAAUUAUCCAUCCAUCCAUCCAUCGAUUUUCUUCGCCGCUUAUCCUCACGAGGGUCGCGGGGAGUGCUGGAGCCUAUCGCAGCUGUCAACGGGCAGGAGGCGGGGGACAUCCUGAACUGGUUGCCAGCCAAUCGCAGGGCACGUCAAGACAAACAUCCACACUCUCAAUCACAACUAGAGACAAUUUAGAGUGUCCAAUUAAUGUUGCAAGUUUUUGGGAUGUGGGAGGAAACUGGAGUGCCCGGAGAAAACCCACGCAGGCACGGGGAGAACGUGCAAACUCCACACAGGCGGGUCCGAGAUUGAAGCCUUUACCAGCU